AGCUCAUCUGGUCGCCGGGGCUGUUGUGUUUCCAGUUGCCAGGUCGCAUAUCAUGACGUCCACCUUGGAGAACUACAUCAACCGAACUGUUGCUGUCAUUACUUCUGAUGGGAGAAUGAUUGUGGGAACACUGAAAGGUUUUGACCAGACCAUUAAUUUGAUACUGGAUGAAAGCCAUGAACGAGUGUUCAGCUCUUCACAGGGAGUAGAACAAGUGGUACUAGGGUUAUACAUCAUAAGAGGCGACAAUGUUGCAGUCAUUGGAGAAAUUGAUGAAGAGACAGAUUCUGCACUUGAUUUGGGGAAUAUUCAAGCAGAAUCUUUGAACUCUGUAGCACACUGAGGAAAAACUACAUAUAUCAGACAGCUGUAAAUCUUUGUACAGAAACUGAUUAUUCUGAGAUUGAUGGUCAGAAUUUUUAGGAAUGUGUAACUGUGGAUUUUGACUCCAUGUUGAUUCAUUGUAAUAUGAUAUGUAAAUUAAAAUAUUUCUACAUUUUCUUGAAAAAAA